rnacentral:tRNA from 1 species
CAUUAAAAAGCUUUAAGUAAGCAAUGAUCUCUUAAAUCAAAUAUAAUAAUUUACGCUUGUUUUUAAUGA